rnacentral:lncRNA from 10 species
GUAAACCUUUUCAUGUUUGCCUAAAUGAACUUGACUUUAAGGGUCUGCUGUCAGGCCACCUGCCGAGGCACCUCAUGUAUUCACUGCCAAUAUCCAGGCACCAUUCUGGACACAAAGCAUUUCACUGGGGCUUGCAAUCCAGGCCAAGCUCCUGAAUGAAUGAAGUCUCCUAAAGUUACAGGUCUUUGACUCUUGGAUCUGAAAAAGGUACUGACCCCCUGCUAAAUUCUGAGCAUUGACACCAGUUGAAGCAUCAACAACACACUCAGGAGAAGAAAAGAGAAAAGAACCACCUGAGUAAAGGAAAUCUGCAACUUGAACUCACUAAAUAAGUUGCUUUGAUUUUGGAUUCAGAGGGAAAAUGCACAGAUGUGUUAUAUGGGUAAAUCUCAUGUUGUAGGGGUUUGAUAUUCAGAUUAUUUCACCACCCAGGUAAUAAGCAUGGUACCCAAUAGGUAAGUUUUCUGUUCCCACCCUCUUCCCACCCUCAAGUAGGCCCUGGAAUCUAUUGUUCUGUUCUUUGUGUCCAUGUGUACUCAGGGUUUAGUUCCCACUUAUAAGUGAGAACAUGCAGUGUUUUGUUUUCUGUUCCUGCAUUAGUUUGCUUAGGAUAAUGGCCUCCAGCUCCAUACAUGUUGCUGCAAAGAACAUGAUCUCACUCUUGUUUAUGGCUGUAUAAUAUUCCAUGUUGUAUAGGUACCACAUUUGCCUUAUUCUGUCCACUAUUGAUGAUGAUUUAGAUUGAUUCCAUGUAUAUGUUAUUGUAAACAGUGCUGUGAUGAACACAUAUGUGCCUUUGUCUUUAAUAGUAGAAUUAUUUCUAUUCCUUUGGGUAUAUCCCCUGUAAUCCGAUUGCUGAGUCAAAUGGUAGUUCUAUUUUAAGUUUUCCAAGGAAUCUCCAAACUGCUUUCCACAGUGGCUGAACUAAUUCAUAUUACCACUAGUGGUAUGUAAAUGUUCCCUGUUCUCCACAACCUCACCAUCAUCUGAUUUUUUUUUUUACUUUUUAAUAAUAGCCAUUCUGACUGGUAUGAGAUGGUAUCUCAUUAUGAUUUUUAUUUGUAUUUCUGUAAUGAUUAAUGUUGAGCAUUUUUUCAUAUGCUUGUUAGGCCACGUGUAUGUCUUGUUUUGAGAGGUGUCUGUUUAUGUCCUUUGCCCAAUUUUUAAUACUAUUCUUUUUUGCUUGUUAAUUUGUUUAAGUUCCUUAUAGAUUCUGGAUAUUAGACCUCUGUUGAAUGCUAGUUUACAGAUAUUUUCUUACCUCCUGCAGGUUGUCUGUUUACUCUGCUGACAGUUUCAUUUGCUAUGCAGAAGCUCUUUAGUUUAAUUAGGUUCCAUUUGCCAAUUUUCAUUUUUGUUACCAUUGCUUUUAGGGACUUAGUCAUAAUUUAUUUGCCAAGUCUAAUGUCCAGAAUGGUAAUUCCUCUGUUUCUUUCCAGUGUUUUUUUAUAGUUUUAGAUUUCACAUUUAAGUCAUUAAUCCAUCCUGAGUUGAUUUUUGUAUAUGGUGAAGGGAAGGGGUCCAGUUUUAGUCUUCUGCAUAUAGCUAGCACCGUUUACUGAAUGGGAAUCUUUUCCUCACUGCUUGUUUUUGUCAACUUUAUCAAAGAUCAGAUGGUUAUAGGUGUAUGGCUUUGUAUCUGGGAUCUCUAACCUGCUCCAUUGGUCUAUGUGUCUGUUUUCCUACCAGUACCAUACUGUUUUGGUUACUGCAGCCUUGUAAUAUACUUCGAAGUUGGGUAGUAUGAUGCUUCUGGCUUUCUUCUUUUUGCUUAGGAUUGCUUAUGCUAUUCAGUGUCUUUUUCAGUUCCAUGUGACUUUUAGUAUAGUUUUUUCUAAUAUUCAAUUACUUUGAAUGUUGUUCAUAAUAUGCAGUAAGGCUAAAAAAUAAGUUUCAAAGUGGAAUGUAUGGUAUGAUCUGAGUUUUAAAUAGUAUAUAAAAUAUAAAUUCAUAUAUAAGGGGCAAAAAAUGUAGGGUAAAAAAAGAUAUGAAAAUACCCAAAUGGUAACAAAAUCACAGGCAAUCUUUACUAUGCCUGCUCAUUUUUCUAUAAUAUGUGUGUGUGUAUAUAUAUGCAUACAUAUAUCACUUUCAUAAAAAGUUUUUUAAUAAAAAGUUACCUUUAGAAUAGUGAGAACUUACUUUAUUUUGUAACCUACUUUAAAAUUAGCAUAUUUUAAUUUUAUUGGCAGUGUUUCAUUUAUCAACACCAAGCAAGGAAAUCUACAUCAAGGAAAUAACAAAAGUCAUUUGCUAGUUACCAAAAAUUACACUAUUACUUUGAGAAACUCCUUAUUUAUUUGUUUGUUUUUAGAGAUAAUGUCUUAGUCUGUCUCUCAGGCUGCAGUGCAGUGGUGCGAUCAUAGCUCACUGCAGCCUUGAACUCCUGAGCUAAAGCAAUCCUCCAGCCUCUGCCACCCCAGUAGUUAGGAUUACAGGUGUGUGCCACCAUGCCUGUUUAUAUAGUUUGCAUGUGUGUCCCUACCCAAAUCUCAUGUUGAAAUAUAAUAGCCAAUGUUGAAGGUGGGGCCUGGUGGGAGGUGACUGGAUUAUGGGAGCAGAUACCUCAUGUAUGGUUUAGCACCAUAGCCUUUGGUGCUGUCUUUGUGAUAGUAGGUUUUGUGAUAGUAAGUUUCAUGAGACAUGAUCAUUUAAAACUGUGGCACCUACCUCCAUCUCUCUUGCACGUACAUUCACCAUGUGAUAUGCCUACUCCCCCUCUGUCUUUUGCCAUGAUUCUAAGUUUCCUGAGGCCUCCCCAGAAGCCAAGCAGAUGCCAGCAUUAUGCUUCCUGUAUAGCCUGUGGAAUGGUAUGCCAAUUAAACCUCUUUUCUUUAUGAAUUACCCAGUCUCUGGUAUUUCUUUAUAGGAAUGUGAGAAUGGCCUAAUGCAGAAAAUUGGUUCCAAGAAAUGGGGCAUUACCACGAAGAUAUUAGAAAAUGUGAAAGCAGCUUUGGAACUGUGGAACAGGCAGAGGUUGGAAGAGUGCCAAGAGCUCAGAAGCUAGGAAGAUCAGGGAAAGUUUGGAACUUUUUAGAGACUGCUUAAAUGGUUAUGACCAAAAUGCUGAUAGUGAUAUAGAUAAUGUAGGCCAGGCUGAUGAGAUCUCACAUGGAAAUGAGGAACUUAUUGGGAACUGGAGCAAAGGUCACAUGUGUUAUGCCUUAGCAAAGACCCUGGCUGCAUCGUGUUCAUGCCCCAGGAAUCUGUGGAAGUUUGAACCUAAGAACAAUGACCUAGGGUAUCUGGUAGAAGAAAUUUCUAAGCAGCAAAGUGUUUAAGAUGUGGUGUGGGUGUUUCUAACACACUCUACUCAUCUGCAGGAGUAAAGAAAUGAGUUAAAGUUGGAACUUAUAUUUAAAAGAGAAGCAGAGUGUAGACGUUUAAAAAAUUUGCAGCCUGGCCAUGUGGUAGAGAAAGAAACAGCUUUCUAGGGAGAGGAAUUCAAGCAGGAUAUGCAGCCACCACUUGCUGGAGAAAUUUGCAUAACUAAAAAAAGGCAACUGCUAAUAGGCAAGACAAUGGGAAAAAGGCCUUGAAGUCAUUUCAGAGAUCUAAGAGGCAGCCCCCUCAUCAUAGGCCUUGAGGCCUAAGAGGACAGCAUGGUUUCCUGGGUCAGGCCCAGGGCCCACUGCUCUGCACAUCUUUGGGACACUGUCCCAUUCAUGCUGCUGUUCCAGCACCAGCCCUGGCUCAAAAGGGCAGAGGUACACCUCUGGUCACUGCUUAUUUGGGUUGCCAGAGGGUCAUGAGCAAUGGUAAGUUGUACGUUUCCUGAGGCCUCCUUAGAAGCUGAGCAGAUGCUAGUAUCAUGCUUCCUGUACAGCCAGCAGAACCAUAAGCCAAUUAAGCCUCUUCUCUGUAUAAAUUGCCCGGUCUUGGGUAUUUCUUUAUAGCAAUGUGAGAAUAGCGUAAUACAUCUAGCUAAUUUUUUAAAACAAAUUUUUUAUAGAGAUAGGGUUUGUGUUGUCCAGGCUGAUCUCAAACGCCUGGCCUCAAGCUGUUUUCCUGCCUCAGUGUCCCAACAUGGUGAGAUCAUAGGUGUGAGCCACUACACCUGCGGAUAAACUUAUCACAAUAAAAAUUUGAUAUGAAUUGUAAAAUAAAUUAAGUAGAAAAUUUAAAAAACCUUUUUCUAAAUGAAGAGAAAAUGGGUACAUAUAAUUCUUUUUUUACCCACAUUAAUAAUUUUACAGUAACCAAGAAUUGGCUGCUAAAUGUCUGAAUGUUUCUUUAUAUGAUUUCCUAAAAUGUUGUUUUAAAUAUAUAGGCAAAAUUUGUUCUUGCUACACACCUUUUUUGCUAUAUAAGUAUACAUUUCAGGAAGGAAAUUAGAGUUUCAACCAAAUUCAAUAGUUUUUCUCCUUCUCUUUCUUCUUGCUAACUUCAUUAUAAAACCUAAGUUAAUACUAUAUUUUAGCAUUGUGGAGAAACACCAAAUCCACAAAAUUUAGCCUGUCUAUAUAUGCCUUAACAAAAUCAAAUAAAACUUAACAUAUGAACUGUGAUUUCUUUUAAAACAGAUGUAGUGAAAUGGUUAUAUAUCUUUCUUAGGCUAUGUUGGAAAAAGUGCUGGAAUUAAAUUCAGAUACUGGAAUUAAGACUCUUCAAGACCCUUCAUUACCAUAAUCACUUUGACUUCUGAGAUUUAAGAUGUAAUGACUGACCUGCUAGAAUUUGAACUUGUGUGGGGCCUGUAGCCCUCUCUUUUGGCUGAUUUCUCCCUUUUGAAAUGGGAAUGUUUAUACCCCCAUUGUAUCUUGGAAAUAAGUAACUUGUAUCAGAAUAAAUACUCAAUAUUUAUAAAAUAAAUGGAUAACAUAUUAAUGUACCCAACAUAAUUGACAUUUACUACUCAACAUAAAAUUAUAUUUAAGCUGAGAUGGGGAGGAUGAGGAGCCAUACCUAUAGAACGUGCCACAGAACAAUCUAAGUAGAGGGAAAAGAAAUCAUAGUUAAAAUUGGAACACACUCUGGGUAUGAAGAACUGAAAGGAGGCUAGGGUGGCCAGAGGGUUGUGAGCAAGAACCAAAUGCUGUGAGACAGAAGGAAAAUUAGGCAACUGUCAGAUCAUCUAGAGUCUAAUAUAACUGGUGCAAAGACUUUAGAUAUUUACAUAUAACAGGAAGCCAAGAAAAGGUUUUAAGCAAGGAAGUUAACUUGUCAGAUAUAUGUUGUUUAAAGAAAUGUAUACUGCCUAUUAUGUGAAAUAAUCUAGGAGAGCUAAAAAUGGGAAUAGUUAACAUACUUUGACAGUGAGUUGGUCUAGGAUAGUGCGAAGAGCUGGUGGGAAGAUAGUGAGGAUAAUGGGAAGAGCUUGAGAUACAUUUUGAAGGUAGAACCAAUAGGACUUGCUGAUAUGUUAAAUGUGAGAUAUGUGACAAAGAAAGGAAUCUAGGGUCUCUUUUGGACAGGAACCAGCUGAUUCAGAAAUGCUGAGAUGGGAAGAACAGGAAGAAGAGCAUGGAGGUGGGAUUCACUCUGCUAACUUCAAGAAUAUGAGAUAGAGGCCAGGCGCGGUGGCU